GGAGAGGUCGCAUAGUUGGUCUAGUGCGGGUCGGUGCUAACGAUCUAUACUCGAAAGAGUAUCGAGGGUUCGAAUCCCUCCCUCUCCGCCC
rnacentral:tRNA from 1 species